UCACGCAUCGCAUCUCCCCAAAAACCACCUAGGUGGAUGGGAAGGAGGAUGGUUUCCCGUUGCUCACCGGCCACGGUUAGCCUAAAAUAGGAGCCCUCGGCAUUGGGUUGCCGCGGCGAUAGGUGGUGAACAAGGCUUAGGCCAAGCAAGCAACCCGUCGUGCAACGCAAUGUCAACUUGAGCUCGAAGGACCCUUUAUUGUUGCCCAAAAGCAANAAAACCGUUGCGAC
rnacentral:rRNA from 1 species